CAAAAUUUUAAAUUAUAAAUCCACUCAAGAAACCAAACAUUAAUAAACCUAAUCAAAAAAGCAACUCUAUAAAAUUUCUAUUUUAAAUGAUAAUUAGUAUCGGCUAAACUUUCGUGAUGUAUAUAUUUAUGUGUAGUCUAUCCCUCUUAUUUGACAUUGUUCUAAUAUUUCAGGAUUGAACGUGUUUGAGAAAAUAUCAUCAUGAAACUAGGAAGCAUUCUUUUACUGUUGUGGUCUUUCUUUGUUCUCUUCAGCCUCACCAAGGAAUCUGAUGUAGGGUACCCCAACAUCAAGUAUUGUGCUCGACCUCUGAAUGGAUUGAGUGGUACCUGUCUCACUGGUAAGAUCGAUUGCUAUGAAGCAUUCAGGAGAAAGUUUCCAGGCAGUGAUCCUCGCCGUUGUAGAUGUGACACUAAUGGGAAUACACACAAUUGCACAUGUUGUAUCGUUUGUGGAUUAAAAUAUGAGAAGAUUCUUGUAAACCAAGAUGAUUAUCAAUGUUAAUUAUUAAAAUAAUUUAAUAAUUAAUGACCUCACAUACCUUUGUAUGUGUUAUA